AGCGAACGCUGGCGGCAGGCCUAACACAUGCAAGUCGAACGAACCCUUCGGGGUUAGUGGCGGACGGGUGAGUAACACGUGGGAACGUGCCUUUAGGUUCGGAAUAACUCAGGGAAACUUGUGCCAAUACCGAAUGUGCCCUUCGGGGGAAAGAUUUAUCGCCUUUAGAGCGGCCCGCGUCUGAUUAGCUAGUUGGUGAGGUAAUGGCUCACCAAGGCUACGAUCAGUAGCUGGUCUGAGAGGAUGACCAGCCACAUUGGGACUGAGACACGGCCCAAACUCCUACGGGAGGCAGCAGUGGGGAAUCUUGCGCAAUGGGCGAAAGCCUGACGCAGCCAUGUCGCGUGGAUGAUGAAGGUCUUAGGAUUGUAAAAUCCUUUCACCGGUGAAGAUAAUGACUGUAGCCGGAGAAGAAGCCCCGGCUAACUUCGUGCCAGCCGCCGCAGUAAGAC
rnacentral:rRNA from 1 species